rnacentral:rRNA from 1 species
UACGAAGGGGGCUAGCGUUGUUCGGAAUUACUGGGCGUAAAGCGCGCGCAGGCGGUCUUCCAAGUCAGUGGUGAAAGCCCGGAGCUCAACUCCGGAACUGCCAUUGAAACUGUUAGACUUGAGGACGAGAGAGGUGAGUGGAAUUCCCAGUGUAGAGGUGAAAUUCGUAGAUAUCGGGAGGAACACCGAGUGGCGAAGGGCGCGGCCUGGGAAGAUACUGACGCAUGAG